rnacentral:rRNA from 1 species
CCGUUCAGGGGUAAACCUAAGAAACCCAAAAGAUCGAACGGGGAGAUUCAUCGUCAGCGGNGUUGGCUUCGCGUCGGUGGGCGAUGUCUCGCGGAGUCCUCGCGGCUCGCGCGCGGGCACGCUACCGUGCGUCGAUGUCCGGCGCUCGUCGUCGUGCACUUCUCCCCAAGUAGAACGUCGCGACCCGCUGAGUGUCGGUCUACGGCCCGGGUGCGGUGGCUGUCGCGUCGCCGGUAAAACGGCACGCGACAAACCCCCGGUCGCCCGGCCGGCUGCUCGGCGGUACGCGCAAGGUAUCAGGCCGCACUUAUUUUUACGGUGCGUCGAGGCCGUCGCAAGCGCGCGCCACGGUACGGAGGUUACGGACUUUGCGCCGUCCCCGGUCCUGGCCCGCUGUUGGUUAAAGUACGGUUCACCUUCGACAGGCCUGCGAACGCCUUCCNCUCUCGGGAGGAAGACCGAUACCGGUCGGCGACGCUACUGCUUUGGGUACUCUUAGGACCCGUCUUGAAACACGGACCAAGGA